GUGACUUCUGUCUUGCUGGCAUUUGCUUGCUUCCUCAGUUUAAGGAAACUAACUGCAGUAUUCUGAAUUACCCUAUGGAAAAGCUCAUACGACAGAGAACUGGUGGCAGCCUCUGACAACAGCUGCCAAGGACCUGAAUCCUGCUAACAACUGGUGAAUGAUCUUGGAAUCAGAUCUUAUCCCAGCUGAAUCUUGAGAUGACUGGAGAUACAGCUGACACCUCGAUUUUAUCCUGUAAGAGACCGUGAGCUAGAUAGAGGACCCAGCUAAGCCAUGCCUGGAUUCCUGAACGACAAAAUUGUGAGAUAGUAAAUGUUGUUUUAUCCAGCUACUGCAUUUCAGGGUCAUUUGAUACACAGCAAUAGAUAUCCAAUACACAUGGCCUCCCUGAGACAUAACAAUAUUGAUAUUGGCCAAUUAAUAACCACACAAAGGCUUCUAAGAGUUUAAGGGAAAGGAAGAGUUGCAUGUCUCUUACUUUAAAUAAAAAGCUAGAAAUGAUUAAGCUCAACAAGGAAGACAUAUCGAAAGCUAAGAUAGG
rnacentral:lncRNA from 10 species